rnacentral:rRNA from 1 species
GCAGCAGCCGCGGGAAUACGGAGGGUGCAAGCGUUAAUCGGAAUUACUGGGCGUAAAGCGCACGCAGGCGGUCUGACAAGUCAGAUGUGAAAUCCCCGGGCUUAACCUGGGAACUGCAUUUGAAACUGUCAGGCUGGAGUCUUGUAGAGGGGGGUAGAAUUCCAGGUGUAGCGGUGAAAUGCGUAGAGAUCUGGAGGAAUACCGGUGGCGAAGGCGGCCCCCUGGACAAAGACUGACGCUCAGGUGCGAAAGCGUGGGGAGCAAACAGGAUUAGAUACCCCUGUAGUCCCUGUCUCUUAUAC